rnacentral:rRNA from 1 species
GCAGUCGAGCGAUGGAUUGAAGAGCUUGCUCUCAUGAAGUUAGCGGCGGACGGGUGAGUAACACGUGGGUAACCUGCCCAUAAGACUGGGAUAACUCCGGGAAACCGGGGCUAAUACCGGAUAAUAUUUUGAACUGCAUGGUUCGAAAUUGAAAGGCGGCUUCGGCUGUCACUUAUGGAUGGACCCGCGUCGCAUUAGCUAGUUGGUGAGGUAACGGCUCACCAAGGCAACGAUGCGUAGCCGACCUGAGAGGGUGAUCGGCCACACUGGGACUGAGACACGGCCCAGACUCCUACGGGAGGCAGCAGUAGGGAAUCUUCCGCAAUGGACGAAAGUCUGACGGAGCAACGCCGCGUGAGUGAUGAAGGCUUUCGGGUCGUAAAACUCUGUUGUUAGGGAAGAACAAGUGCUAGUUGAAUAAGCUGGCACCUUGACGGUACCUAACCAGAAAGCCACGGCUAACUACGUGCCAGCAGCCGCGGUAAUACGUAGGUGGCAAGCGUUAUCCGGAAUUAUUGGGCGUAAAGCGCGCGCAGGUGGUUUCUUAAGUCUGAUGUGAAAGCCCACGGCUCAACCGUGGAGGGUCAUUGGAAACUGGGAGACUUGAGUGCAGAAGAGGAAAGUGGAAUUCCAUGUGUAGCGGUGAAAUGCGUAGAGAUAUGGAGGAACACCCAGUGGCGAAAGGCGACUUUCUGGUCUGUAACUGACACUGAGGCGCGA